GGGGAAUAUUGGACAAUGGGCGCAAGCCUGAUCCAGCGACGCCGCGUGAGUGAUGAAGGCCUUCGGGUUGUAAAGCUCUGUUGAGGGAGAAGAAAACGUCUGGCGUGAAUAACUCCAGACCUUGACGGUCUCCCUUUAGAAAGCACCGGCUAACUCUGUGCCAGCAGCCGCGGUAAUACAGAGGGUGCGAGCGUUGUCCGGAAUCACUGGGCGGAAAGGGCGCGUAGGUGGCUGUGUAAGUCGGGGGUGAAAUGCUGCGGCUCAACCGCAGCGCUGCCUUCGAGACUGCACGGCUCGAGCACGGUAGAGGCCGAUGGAAUUCCCGGUGUAGCGGUGGAAUGCGUAGAGAUCGGGAAGAACACCAAUGGCGAAGGCAGUCGGCUGGGCCGUUGCUGACACUGAGGCGCGACAGCGUGGGGAGCAAA
rnacentral:rRNA from 1 species